ensembl:misc_RNA Metazoa_SRP Metazoan signal recognition particle RNA
GCUGGGUGUGGUGGCGGGCACCUGUAAUCCCAGCUACUCGGGAGGCUGAGGCAGGAGAAUUGCUUGUACCCGGGAGGCACAGGUUGCAGUGAGCCGAGAUCGCGACACUGCACUCCAGCCUGGGUGACAGAGUAAGACUUUGUCUCAA